rnacentral:rRNA from 1 species
GACAGAGGGUGCGAACGUUGUUCGGAAUUACUGGGCGUAAAGCGCGUGUAGGCUGCUUUGCAAGUCGGGUGUGAAAGCCCUGGGCUCAACCCGGGAAGUGCACUCGAAACUGCAAAGCUUGAGUCCUGGAGAGGAAAGCGGAAUUCUCGGUGUAGAGGUGAAAUUCGUAGAUAUCGAGAGGAACACCGGUGGCGAAGGCGGCUUUCUGGACAGUGACUGACGCUGAGACGCGAAAGCGUGGGGAG